GAUGAAGAACGUAGCAAAAUGCGAUACUUGGUGUGAAUUGCAGAAUCCCGUGAACCAUCGAGUUUUUGAACGCAAGUUGCGCCCGAAGCCUUUUGGCCGAGGGCACGUCUGCCUGGGCGUCACGCAUCGCGUCGCCCCCCACAAUUCUCCGUAAAGGGAACGUGUGUUUUGGGGGCGGAUAUUGGUCUCCCGUGCUCAUGGCGUGCUUGGCCGAAAUAGGAGUCCUUUCGAUGGACGCACGAACUAGUGGUGGUCGUAAAAACCCUCGUCUUUUGUUUCGUGCUGUUGCUCGCAAGGUAAACUCUUUAAAAACCCCAAUGUGUCGUCUCUUGACGACGCUUCGACCGCGACCCCAGGUCAGGCGGGACUACCCGCUGAGUUUAAGCAUAUCAAUAAGCGGAGGA
rnacentral:misc_RNA from 1 species